UUUCAAAACAAAAUCGCGAUGAAUAAACUCUUUAGACUCCCCGCCGGAUGAAAGCCAUUUCCCACUCAGAUUGAGGUCUCUUUUAAUCAACACCUGUAGGUCAUUAUAGCCUCCCUUCCAAAAUAAUUCGCUUUCUUGAAUGUAUAAAGCAGAUUUUAAUCUUUUCUCGUCAUUAACGCCGUUUAGUUGUUGUGAAUUUGAAGAAGAUGUGGAGCGCUUUGAAUUGUGACUAGUCGCAUGUUUGUUGUUGUGGACAUUAUGUUGAAAAUAAAUUUUUGUCCCUCGUGUCCUUCCGUUUCAGGAACCUCUUUAUGAAGCUGAAAACUUAUUUCGCAAAAAUUUUUGGACUUUGAUGAUUUUACUGAAUUUUACGAAGAUAUGAACCUGCGUAGUUGCUAG